rnacentral:rRNA from 1 species
GACGAACGCUGGCGGCGUGCCUAAUACAUGCAAGUCGAACGCAGUGGGGACGGGUGAGUAACACGUGGGUAACCUCCCAUCAGAGGGGAUAACACUUGGAAACAGGUGCUAAACCGAUACUGAUGGAUGGACCCGCGGUGCAUUAGCUAGUUGGUGAGGUAACGGCCCACCAAGGCGAUGAUCAGUAGGCGGUCCGGGAGGAUGGACGGCGAAAUUGGGGACGGGACACGGCCCAGACUCCUACGGGAGGCAUGAGGGGGGGAUCUUCCGGCAUGGACGAAAGUCUGGCGGGGCAACGCCGGGGGAGUGAUGGCGGGUUUCGGGUUGUUAAGCUCUGGUAGUCGGGAAGCGGUACCGAACUAGAAAGCCACGGCUAACUACGUGCCAGCCGCCGCGGUAAUAC